GAAACACGGACCAAGGAGUCUAACAUGUGCGCGAGUCGUAGGGUGCUCGCAAAAUUAUACGAAACAAAACCCGAAGGCGAAAUGAAAGUGAAGGUCGGUAGACUGACUGACCGAGGCGGGAUCCGUCCGGGCAUCGACUGUGGGCCGCAAGGCUCGCGGUUGGGUUCGGCGGCGCACCGCCGGCCCGUCUCGACCGCUUCCCGUCGGCGAGGCGGAGCAAGAGCGCACACGUUGGGACCCGAAAGAUGGUGAACUAUGCUCGGGCAGGACGAAGCCAGAGGAAACUCUGGUGGAGGUCCGUAGCGAUUCUGACGUGCAAAUCGAUCGUCGGACCCGAGUAUAGGGGCGAAAGACUAAUCGAACCGUCUAGUAGCUGGUUCCCUCCGAAGUUUCCCUCAGGAUAGCUGGUGCUCGGUGAGGAACGCAGUCUCAUCCGGUAAAGCGAAUGAUUAGAGGCCUUGGGGCCGAAACGACCUCAACCUAUUCUCAAACUUUCAAUGGGUGAGAAGUCCGGCUUGCUCGACUGAAGCCCGGACUGAUGAAUAACAGAGGGGCUAGAGGCCGAAAGGCCUCUACGCCUGCU
rnacentral:rRNA from 1 species